GGGGGGAGGCCGGAUCCUGGGCUGUGUCCCGGCGCCCUGUGCUCCGGGGCCUGCGCUGUUGGAUUCGCGCUCCCGGGCCGCAGCCCCCU
rnacentral:pre_miRNA from 1 species